rnacentral:tRNA from 1 species
GGUACUGUAGUUUAGGUAGAAUGCCAGGCUUGUAACUUGGUGGGGGAAAGUUAUUUUCUUGGUACUU